CCUACGGGUGGCAGCAGUGAGGAAUAUUGGUCAAUGGGAGAGAUCCUGAACCAGCCAAGCCGCGUGAGGGAAGACGGCCCUAUGGGUUGUAAACCUCUUUUGCCGGAGAACAAAACCAGGGACGUGUCGCGGAAUGCGCGUAUCCGAAGAAAAAGCAUCGGCUAACUCCGGGCCAGCAGCCGCGGUAAUACGGAGGAUGCGAGCGUUAUACGGAGUUUAUGGGUGUAAGGGGUGCGUAGGCGGUCCGUUAAGUCAGCUGUAAAAUUGCGGGGCUCAACCGCGGCGAGCCGUUGAAACUGGAAGUCUUGAGUUGGCGAGAGGUACGCGGAAUGCGCGGUGUAGCGGUGAAAUGCAUAGAUA
rnacentral:rRNA from 1 species